GAUGAACGCUGGCGGCGUGCCUAAUACAUGCAAGUCGAGCGAACAGACGAGGAGCUUGCUCCUCUGACGUUAGCGGCGGACGGGUGAGUAACACGUGGAUAACCUACCUAUAAGACUGGGAUAACCUCGGGAAACCGGAGCUAAUACCGGAUAAUAUAUUGAACCGCAUGGUUCAAUAGUGAAAGACGGUUUUGCUGUCACUUAUAGAUGGAUCCGCGCCGCAUUAGCUAGUUGGUAAGGUAACGGCUUACCAAGGCAACGAUGCGUAGCCGACCUGAGAGGGUGAUCGGCCACACUGGAACUGAGACACGGUCCAGACUCCUACGGGAGGCAGCAGUAGGGAAUCUUCCGCAAUGGGCGAAAGCCUGACGGAGCAACGCCGCGUGAGUGAUGAAGGUCUUCGGAUCGUAAAACUCUGUUAUUAGGGAAGAACAAAUGUGUAAGUAACUAUGCACGUCUUGGCGGUACCUAAUCAGAAAGCCACGGCUAACUACGUG
rnacentral:rRNA from 1 species